CUUGUAUUGUAAUGAAGAAAUUUAAGUUGCCCAACACGUAUAGAAUCUCGAAUGGAUCUUAAUUGAAAUCAGUAUUGGAUCCUCUUCAAUUUUGCAACUGUUUACCUAUCCAUAGUAUUUUUCAAAGUCAAAGAUAAUUUUUCCUCCCAAUUUCGGCAGGGUUUCUCCUCAUGUACCUCAUGCAGUAUGUAUUCGUCUCUUUUCCUCAGAGAUAUCGUAGUAAGAGAGUGGAGAAACCUCUUUUAAACUGGACUUCGUCCAUUACUAUGAACCGAUAUGCUUAAAGCUUCACCUUCAUGGCCUGAUGGAGUCGAAUGGGAACCUUUGGUCUACCGAGUAAUCCGAGAGCUCUUUCAUCCACUCACCAUCACCAGAUCUUUGGCAUCAGUGGAGGGAUUUUCGAGGCAUUAAAUUGGAAUCAUCCACAGUAGCUCAAAAUCGUUGCUAUUGGAGCUGGCGUUCUUCAUACAAGGGACAUGAAGGUUCUCAAACUUGUCAAAGUUUAGCAAUAAGUUGAUGACAUGCUUCAGAUAAGCAGCAAUGCUCUUGUCCACGACAAUGAAGCUGCCAUUCACUUGAUUCGCAAUGAACCGGAGUCGUCGUUGACCUUUAUUUCCUUCACCAAUUUCAGCCUGGUCAUCAAUGCCUCAUAUUCAACUAUAUUACUCAAAGCUUCGUAGCUAAGGAAAAUGCCCAAUGUACAGGGCAUUUUCUCAUAGAGUAUUUAUAGGGAAGACAUAUGAGGGUGGGCCCAUGUGAAUUUUUAUUGAGGUGGUCUUCACUAAUGUGUGUAUUCUGUGAAAUGUCUGUAUGUUUUUCCUCUGUAAUUGUAGCACUAUUGCGUUGCCGAACCUUAGCCUUGAG
rnacentral:lncRNA from 1 species